ACCCAGCUUUGUGACGGGACCAGCUGGCUGGUUCCAUGAGGUGACUUCUGCCCAGUGCUCUGAUUGUCAAUGCGAAGAGAUUCAGCCAAGCGCGGGUAAACGGCGGGAGUAACUAUGACUCUCUUAAGGUAGCCAAAUGCCUCGUCAACCAAUUAUUGACGCGCAUGAAUGGAUCAACGAGAUUCCUGCUGUCCCUAGGUGCUGUCUGGUGAACCAACAGCCAAGGGAACGGGCUUGGAUGUGUCAGCGGGGAAAGAAGACCCUGUUGAGUUUGACUCUAGUUUGAUGCUGUGCAACGACAUGGAGGGUGUAGCACAGGUGGGAGGCAAGUGCCAUCUCACACACCCUGGAAUGGAGCUUGGAAGAGAAUCUGGUGCAAACCAACAGUGAAAUACCACUACCUUCACCGUCGUUUUACUCACUGAGUGGCUUGAGAACGGCAAGCCAACCUUGUGUGAGGCUCUCUCCUUGGGAGCUAUGGCUAUGACACCGGUUCGUGCGCAAAGUGCAGCUAUCUGUAUGACUCAGGGGCCUGACCAACCCCUGCAGAUUGCCUCGGGACAAUGAUCAGUUGGGGAGUUUGGCUGGGGCGGCACGCCUGUUACACCACAACGCAGGCGUCCUGAAGCAUUGCUCAGUUGGAACAGAAAUCCUGCGCAGAGGAGCAGGCCAAAGGUGCUGCUGACGCAGUCACUUUCAGUACAAGUGCAGAACACGCAAGUGUGGCCUUGCGAUCCUUUGGUUAAGCGCUCGUAUUCUGGAUAUUGAAGCCAGAGGUGUCAGAAAAAUUACCACAGGGAUAACUGGCUUGUGGCUGCCAAGCGUUCAAAGCGACGUCGCUUUUUGAUCCUUCGAUGUCGGCUCUUCCUAGCUUGCCACCCGCAGCAGAGUGCAAGAGUUGGAUUGUUCACCCACCAACAGGGAACGUGAGCUGGGUU
rnacentral:rRNA from 1 species